GGCUGUGACGGAUACUGGCAGUCUGCAUGCAGCCUAUAGUGAGGGACCCUAGCGACCCCACAGCACAGCCAGUGAAUUGGUAUUUCUUCUGAAAGGAGCAGAGGUCCUCUGCCAACACCAAGAGCCUGACAGCUGCUGAACGGAUGGCAGAGGGCCGUCUUUCUCUCUGCACAGACACACCAAGGCUGACAUAGAGGAGAGGACAAUUUGGGGUGGGGGGGGUCGAACUAGAGAUUGACAAUGCAACAGGUAUGGCUUUAGAUAUACAUUGAAGACAACAAAAUGCUCAAAAUAUACAAUUUAUUCCAAAUAUGUUAAUGCAACCAUCAGUAUUUUCCAGUAAUUACAAAAUCAGUCAUUUUUAAUAGUUGUUCCUUAUUAACAACAAAUCAUUAUAACACAAAUGUUGAUCAACCAUCAGAGCAAAGACAGAUUCAUUUGCAGCACAUCAGACAGUUUGCUUGAUAGACAAGCACUGGCUGCAACAAUCAGGAAAGAACAGUCGGAGAGGCAUUUUUGUAAACUUGGGUCCAUUGGUCACAUAAUAUAUUUCAGAUUUCAAACACCCCUGGGAAGACGUACAGUGAAACAGUAUUUGCCCCCUUUCUGAUUUUUCUCUACUGUUGCAUAUUUUUAUACUGACUGUUAGCAGGUCUUCAACCAAAACCUAAUAUUAGAUAAAGGGAACCUGAGUUUACAAAGAACAGUCAUUUUAUUUAUUUAAUUAACAAAUGGGACCCAUGUCAUCCCAAAAAUUAUACUUUUCAAUCAUCUGUCCAUAGAACAUUCUUCCAGAAGUCUUGAUGAUCGUCAUUUUGGCAAACUUGAGUAAACUUUUUGGACAUGGGUUCCAUUAUGGGGUGGCAGGUAGCCUAGUGGUUAGAGCGUUGGGCCAGUAACCAGCAGGUAGCCUAGUGGUUAGAGCGUUGGGCCAGUAAUCAGCAGGUAGCCUAGUGGUUAGAGCGUUGGGCCAGUAAUCAGCAGGUAGCCUAGUGGUUAGAGCGUUGGGCCAGUAACCAGCAGGUAGCCUAGUGGUUAGAGCGUUGGGCCAGUAACCAGCAGGUAGCCUAGUGGUUAGAGCGUUGGACCAGUAACCAGCAGAUAGCCUAGUGGUUAGAGCAUUGGGCCAGUAACCAGCAGGUAGCCUAGUGGUUAGAGCAUUGGGCCAGUAACCAGCAGGUAGCCUAGUGGUUAGAGCAUUGGACCAGUAACCAGCAGGUAGCCUAGUGGUUAGAGCGUUGGGCCAGUAACCAGCAGGUUGCUAGAUUGAACACCCGAGCUGACAAGGUAUAAAUCUGUCAUUCUGUCCCUGAACAAGGCAGUUAACCCACUGUUUCUUGGCCGUCGUUUAAAAUAAGAAUUUGUUCUUAACUGACUUGCCUGGUUAAACAAAAUUGUUUUUAUGCCUGGCAAAAACUAAACACUGCAUUCCACAGUAAGAACCUCAUACCAACGGUCAAGCAUGGUGGUGGCAGUGUGAUGGUUUGGGGUCAGCAUGGUGGUGGUAGUGUGAUGGUUUGGGGUCAGCAUGGUGGUGGUAGUGGGAUGGUUUGGGGUCAGCAUGGUGGUGGUAGUGUGAUGGUUUGGGGUCAGCAUGGUGGUGGUAGUGUGAUGGUUUGGGGUCAGCAUGGUGGUGGCAGUGUGAUGGUUUGGGGAUGCUUUGCUACCUCAGGACCUGGACGACUUGCCUUAAUAGUAGGGAACCAUGAAUUCUGCUCUGUAUCAGAGAAUUCUACAGGAGGAUGUCAGGCCGUCCGUCUGUGAGCUGAAACUGAAGUGCAGCUGGGUCAUGCAGCAAGAUAAUGAUUAAAAACACAAGUCUACAUAAAAAUGGCUAAAGAGCAACACAUUUGAAGAUUGGAAUGGCCUAGUCAAAGUUUAGACCUAAUCCCUAGUCCCAAUUGAGAUGUUGUGGCAGGACUUGAAAAGAGCAUUUCAUGCUUGAAAACCCACACAUUGCUGAAUUAAAGCAGUUCCGCAUGGAAGAGUGGGACAGAAUUCCUCCACAGCGACGUGAGAGACUGAUCAACAACUACAGGAAGUGUUUGGUUGGAGUCGUUGCAGCUAAAGGUGGACUGAUCAACAACUACAGGAAGUGUUUGGUUGGAGUCGUUGCAGCUAAAGGUGGACUGAUCAACAACUACAGGAAGUGUUUGGUUGGAGUCGUUGCAGCUAAAGGUGGACUGAUCAACAACUACAGGAAGUGUUUGGUUGGAGUCGUUGCAGCUAAAGGUGGACUGAUCAACAACUACAGGAAGUGUUUGGUUGGAGUCGUUGCAGCUGAAGGAGGCACAACCAGUUAUUGAGUAUAAGGGGACAAUCACUUUUUCACACAGGGGAAUUUGGUGUUGCAUAACUUUGUUUAUGAAAUAAAUUAAAUAAAGAAUGUAAUUGUUGUGUUAUUUGUUCACUCAGGUUUCCUUUAUCUAAUAUUAGGUUUUGGUUGAAGAUCUGAUAACAUUCAGUGUCAAAAAUAUGCAAAAGAAGAGAAAACUAAAAAGGGGGAAAAUACUUUAUCACGGGAACAACGGCCACUAAAACACCCUUCUACCAUAGUAAAACACCCUUCUACCAUAGUAAAACACCCUUCUACCAUAGUAAAACACCUUUCUACCAUAGUAAAACACCCUUCUACCAUAGUAAAACACCCUUCUACCAUAGUAAAACACCCUUCUGACAUAGUAAAAC
ensembl:lncRNA